rnacentral:rRNA from 1 species
CCCUUAGAUGUCCUGGGCCGCACGCGCGCUACACUGAGUGUCUGAGAUACGAGUCUGCCUGGUCCGGCAAGGUCUAGGUAAUCGCUAAAAGACACAUCAUGCUUGGGAUAGAUUAUUGCAAAUAUUAAUCUUGAACGAGGAAUUCCUAGUAAGCGCAAGUCAACAGCUUGCGUUGAUUACGUCCCUGCCCUUUGUACACACCGCCCGUCGCUACUACUGAUUGGAUGUUUAAGCGAGGUUCUCGAACUGCUAGCGACUUAGCUUCGGUGAGGUCGCAGUGUGGGAAGUGAACCUAUCUUUGGUGUCUAGAGGAAGUAAAAGUCGUAACA